rnacentral:rRNA from 1 species
CCCUUAGAUGUCCGGGGCUGCACGCGCGCUACACUGAAGGAAUCAGCGUGGCUUUCUCCCUGACCCGAAAGGGUUGGGAAACCCGUUGAAUCUCCUUCGUGAUAGGGAUUGGGGCUUGAAAUUGUUCCCCACGAACGAGGAAUUCCCAGUAAGCGCGAGUCAUAAGCUCGCGUUGAUUACGUCCCUGCCCUUUGUACACACCGCCCGUCGCUACUACCGAUUGAACGGUUUAGUGAGGGCCUCGGAUUGGUCUCGGCCCGCUCUUUACCGGGCGGCGCCGUUGGUCGAGAAGACGCUCGAACUUGAUCGUUUAGAGGAAGUAAAAGUCGUAACA